CAGAUCAACAGUUUGUUGAGGAAAAGCUUGGAAUUCAGUUGAUGCCUAUUCUUGCUGUGAAGAGGAGCAAUCUGAACUGAAGGGAGAACAGACUCCAAACAAGAGUAGAUGUGAUGACACCAAGAAAGAGCAGCCACAUAUUACCUCGAGAGGUUAACCAGAAUGCAAAUCAACAGAAUAUGAUGCUGACCAAGUACCAGGAAGAGGUGUCCCCAUCACUGUAGAUGACAAGUGAUGACAGUUAUCUUGAUGGACUACAGGAAUGAUUCAAGUGCAUUCAUUGUGCAGUUUACUGAUUUGUAUGAUGUAUUUUGAUAAUUGUUUUGGCAUUCUGAUGUCAGCUGAGUAACACCUCCAUAAUGGAAACAAAUUAAGGAACUUCUGUUUUGAAGCAGUAAAAUAGUCUCAGCAAUAAUUUUUAUUUAUUUUGCCAGCAGAACAGAAGUUUCCAUUAAUUUUCCCACACAAACAUUUUGUGCUUUUCUGUUCCCCAUUUGUGCUUAUUGUCCUGCUGAACAAUUAGACCACCUUUUCAGUGACAUUUUUUUUUACACUGCAUGACAAUGUGAUUUAGAAGUAUGAUUUGAUAUAGUUUGAUGGUUUGAUAUUAGUAUAUGUGGCAUGUAGUAAACAAUGGAAUAGUAAAGUUAUGCCAUAUUUCUUGUAUUUCAUGAUACUGGCUGUUAUAUUACUUUUGUGAUAGUUAGUAUUUAAUUAAGGCUUUACAUACUGGCAACUAAGUCUCUGCAUGUCUGCCAUGGAAGGCAUGUAAAACUGUUGCCCUUUGCCCAGAACGAAGAAAGUUUUAUAUGUGUAAUUCAUGAUAUGUGAAUAAUGUCUUACAUGUGAUGUUACAUCUAACUAUUUAAUGUGUAUGCUGUUAGUCUUAGAAAAAAAAAUUACCCCAUCUUGAAAUAU